UAACGCGUGGGCAACCUGCCUUACACAGGGGGAUAACAGUUAGAAAUGACUGCUAAUACCGCAUAAGACCACGAAACUGCAUGGUUUUGUGGUAAAAACUCCGGUGGUGUAAGAUGGGCCCGCGUCUGAUUAGGUAGUUGGCGGGGUAACGGCCCACCAAGCCGACGAUCAGUAGCCGACCUGAGAGGGUGACCGGCCACAUUGGGACUGAGACACGGCCCAGACUCCUACGGGAGGCAGCAGUGGGGAAUAUUGCACAAUGGGGGAAACCCUGAUGCAGCGACGCCGCGUGAGCGAUGAAGUAUUUCGGUAUGUAAAGCUCUAUCAGCAGGGAAGAAAAUGACGGUACCUGACUAAGAAGCCCCGGCUAACUACGUGCCAGCAGCCGCGGUAAUACGUAGGGGGCAAGCGUUAUCCGGAUUUACUGGGUGUAAAGGGAGCGUAGACGGCUUUGCAAGCCAGAUGUGAAAGCCCGGGGCUCAACCCCGGGACUGCAUUUGGAACUGUAUGGCUGGAGUGUCGGAGAGGCAGGCGGAAUUCCUAGUGUAGCGGUGAAAUGCGUAGAUAUUAGGAGGAACACCAGUGGCGAAGGCGGCCUGCUGGACGAUGACUGACGUUGAGGCUCGAAAGCGUGGGGAGCAACAGGAUUAGAUACCCUGGUAGU
rnacentral:rRNA from 1 species